GUGAUCUUUAGGUCUAUAAGGUCCCCUGGAAAGUUUGUCUUGGCAAAUGGAUAUUAACCAGUUGAAGACAGGCAAAUGGCAUCUACCACUUUCUAUGACAACGCUGUCCAUCCCAUGUGGCUGGUUCCUUGUCCACAUGUUGAAUCAACAGGAGUCUGACGUGUUGAGUGAACUUGGGCAAGUCUCUUAACCUCUUAAACUUCCGUUUCUUUUCUGUGAAAGAAAGAGAGCACCCCAUUCUGGUUCACAUCAGUUUAGUAAAUAAUUUCAUUCCAAGAAAGAGCUUGACCUUGUUGAGAAAGGAACCAAAUGGAAGGCAGGCUUUUUUCCUAAAGCAGCUCGAUCUUAUCAGAGUAUUCAGACUCAAAGGUUAGCCUCUGGGAGCUGCUGACUUUAGAGGGGUAUUUGAAUCUGUGAACUUUUGGCUUAAAAGUAAGAGUUCAACUCUCCUCUGGUUCUCUCUGGUGUUGCAAUGUUGGCCAAAGGUGGCUGCUGUACUGUGCGUACAACCGGAAACCCCAAAUUGGGUUUGCAUCUCUUUGACCGAGCGAGGUGCCUUCCCCAGCCUCACCUCCAGAUGUUCCAUGGGGGUUUGAAGUGUGGAGGAAGAGUUAACGGAGCUUGGUGUCUCUCUUAUUGAGCAGGGACAUGGGCAGAAGAACCAUGAAUGGAGGGAGGCCAACAUACUCCGAUCUCAGCUGUCAUUUUGAAUUUGAUCUCCUCUGUGCCAGAAAUCAGAUUUAUUGCUGGUGAGAAUGGUGACUCAUGCUCUUUUGAUGCCAACCAACUAAUUUAUCCUGCUGUGGUUUGUGCUGAAGAAUUGCUUUCUGGAGGAUCUAGUGCUUCUCUAGUGCAUGGAAGAAUUGAUGCUUUUGAACUAUGGUAUUGGAGAAGACUCUUGAGAGUCCCUUGCACUGCAAGGAGAUCAAACCAGCCCAUCCUAAAGGAAAUCAGUCCUGAAUAUUCAUUGGAAGGACUGAUGCUGAAGCUGAAGCUCCAUACUUUGGCCACCUGAUGCAAUGAACUGACUCACUGGAAAAGCCCCUGAUGCUGGGAAAGAUUGAAGGUGGGAGGAGAAGGGUGUGACAGAAGAUGAGACGGUUGGGUGGCAUCACUGACUUGUUGGACAUGAGUCUGAGCAAGCUCCAGGAGAUGGUGAAGGAGAGGGAAGCCUGGCAUGCUGCAGUCCAUGGGUUCGCAAAAAGUCGGACACGACUGAGCAACUGAACUGAACUGAGGCUCAUUUUGGACAAAAACUUCAGACAGAGUGUUGAGUAAGAGCAGGGUCAGUUUAGCAAAUUGCCCUUGUAUAUAGACAGAGAAUUGUAGUAACCUCCAAGAGACCCAUGUUCUACAUCCAGCUUGGCCCCAAGUCACUUUGUGACCUUGAGCAAGCCUCAUUCUCCUUCCAAGCCUCAGUUUCCCCAUACUUAAAACAAGUUGAUUGAACUAAAUAAUCCCUAAGGUAGCUCUAGCUCUGGUAUUCCCUAGCAGAAUAUUACCCAACCUUUUAAUUCCUAAGGGAAUCUUGCUUAGAAACUAGGAGAAUUAUCUUUGCACAGGAAGUCAGAGAAUGCUUGCAGAAUCAUAAAACAAAUAUUAGGAAAAAAACAUAAGAAUAUUGUGUUGUUCUGUGCUUUUGGCUCAUAUUUUCUAAAGUCCAUGUCAAAUAUUUGCAGCACAACCACAUUUUAUUUUCAUAUAUAGAGAGGAAGCAGGGGAAAUAGGAGUAACAGUUGCUAUGAAAAUUAACCAUGCUCUAUCAAAAUAUGAUUGCAUUUGGUAGGCCAUGUAUCCUCAGCUUCCUGAACAUACAUCCUGCCUUCACAGAUCAUAUCUGCUGGAGAUCACAGACAUAGAGAUAAAUAACUCAAAUACAUACAAAGUAUGACAUAUAAAACCAAUAUAAAGAACCUUAGAAAGGAGAAAGAUCACACUGAUUUGGGGGAUCAGGAAAGUUCAUGGAGAAGUUAGCAUUUGAUGUUGGUUUGGAGAAAGAAAUGGUCAUAAGAAUCAAGAGGAGGCCAAUCAGUGAAAACACUGUGAACAAAGGCAGAGGCAGGGAAACCAUGUGAGUUUGGUGGCUAGCACAUGGGUAGUUUGCUUGGCUUAAGGCAAAAAGCUAUGAAAUGAAGUAGUGGGAAAGAGAACUAAUUAAAUUUAUGUGUUAUAUUUCCCUCGUUAGUACACACCUUUUUUAUUGCAAAAAUCCUUGUUUACUUUUGUCAUCCUAUCAAAAAUGACACAUAAUCAUCUCUCAAAAUUUGUUUAAUGAAUAAAUAAACUAUAUUAUAUGUUAAUUUUUCCUCU
ensembl:lncRNA